AGUAAUAUUUGUGUUUUAUUAUAAGGUAUAGUCCUUAUUGGUUUAGUGUAGUUAGCUCUUAUGUUUCUU
rnacentral:tRNA from 1 species